UGCCAGCAGCCGCGGUAAUACGGAGGGGGUUAGCGUUGUUCGGAAUUACUGGGCGUAAAGCGCACGUAGGCGGAUCAGAAAGUAAGGGGUGAAAGCCCCCGGCUCAACCGGGGAACUGCACCUGAUACUGAUGUGCUCGAGGACGGUUGGGGUGAGUGGAACUCCUGGUGGAGCGGUGAAAUGCGUAGAUAUCAGGAGGAACACCAGUGGCGAAAGCAGCUCUCUGGCCCGAUACUGACGCUGAGGCCCGAAAGCGUGGGUAGCAAACAGGAUUAGAUA
rnacentral:rRNA from 1 species